UGCAGGACACCCAGGCUUUAUUGCAAACCUGGCACCAGUUGGCAGCUCCAGCUCAGCAGACACAGGCUCUCUGUGCCCCAAACCUUCCCCUCUCCAGUGCAGGGGCUGCCAGGAGAGGCUGAUGCUUCACUGGGGGAGAAGCCCCCAGAGCCGAGCACAUCCUGGUGCAGGGUGGCCGUGAUGGGUGUCACAGCCCCAGCAGGGUGGGGGGUAAAGGGGCAGGAGGGUGUCCCUGUGGCUCUGGGAUUGGUGGGCAGCCCAGUGCCCUGGUACCAGCCACCUCGGAGAGCUGCAGGUUUUCCUGGCCAUGGUUCCUGCGUUGGCUCCUUACCCAGGCAGUCACACACCCCAGGAGCAGCGCCACAGCCACCUUCACGCCAGGGAUGAGCAGCAGGUAGAUGAUGUUGAGCUGGGACCUGGAUAGGAGAAAGGAGAUAGUGCUAAAGCUUGAGUCUGGGCAACGGGGAUGGGGACACUUGCACGUCUGCCCUGCUUGCCCCUGGGAUGCUCCUUGGAGCUGCUGCAACCAACCCAGGGAUGAGGGAUGCAUGCAGGGAAAGAGGUGUCUUAGGCCAGGGGAUGCUGUUGGGGGCUUGCCCGCACCCUGAGCCCUGACUCACAGCACUGGAGGCUCCCCAAAGCCCGUGGUGGCCACUGGGCUCACAUCGCUGCCUUUGGUGGUGGAUGAAUCAGCUGUGAAAGAAAACAGAGUCAGAGCAAAGUGGAGACCCCCCCCUGCACCCAUCCUGCCCCGGGGGCCUCUGCCCUGAGACUUCAGCCACAGAGGUGCAGGAGGUAGAGAGGGGGGUGCCCAGGCAAGGCACUGGGCACCGAGGAGGAGGAGGAUGAGAAAGGAGAGAGGUUACUGGGAGAGACUGGAAACCCCAAAGGGCUUGUGGAAGCAGAAAUGCUGAAAGGAGCAAGCAAGAGGCUCUGCUCUGCAUGAGGCUCUGUAGCCUCCUCUUCCCUCAUCCAAAUCUGCACUGGGGCAGCCUUAUGCUGCACAUGCCUGACCUGUGCACAUGCCUGACCUGUGCUCCCACAUCUCACCUGGCAAAAGGGUCCAAACCAGGAAAAUCCACAUUUUCCACCUUCUUGCUCCUGACGCAGAUUUUCCCCUGUGGUUAUUCACAAAGU
rnacentral:lncRNA from 1 species